GAGGCAAUUCAGUAAGCAGCACCCUCCAUGGCCUCUGCAUCAGUUCCUGCCUCCAGUUUCUGCUCUGUGUUAGUUCCUGUCCUCCCAUCACAUUAUGAACCCCUCCGUUGAUUCAUCCAAUGAAGAAGUCACAGUUCCCAGGGGUCAAUUCCUUCCUCAAUCCUCCCUUCUGAAUGCUGAACUGGGUUAUGACUAGAAGCUGUUGGAGCUGUUGGAAGGGCUGAGAUUGCCAGGGUGCAGAAGAGAGUCAGUCACCAUUUUCAGUUCAAAAUCCUGGUUGCUAGAGCAAGACUCACAAAGCUCCAAGUGCUCCGGGUUCCUGGGGAGAUAUCAUCUUUGUGUGAAGUUGUGUGGGAAGAAGAGAGAAAGAUCUCCCUCUGAAAGCUUCAUACUGUCUCUCUGAUGUGGUACUCACUGGACUGCCCCAGGAGGAUAUGCGGAGCACUUUUGCUGUAUCAGCUCAGAGGCUGCCACAUAAUCCAGGCUCAUCUUGUCCCCAGACCACACCGGGACUUCCUACCUCAGAAUCAUCAUCAGAUGGGAAGUCAAGUUGGAAUUUCUGACAGAGGAACUCAGAAACAGAGACCACUGUUGACUUCAUAAAACUGAUAGGCCUGUUAUGUUUUCUUUGUAUUUUACCAUUUUCUCUGGAUGUCCUCUGUGCUGCAUAACUUUUUUUGUCAACGUGACACAAUUCCGUGUUCUCUAAGAAGAGGAGACAUCAGUUGAGAAAAUGCCUCCAUCAGAUUGGCCUGUGGGCAAGUUUUGGGGAACAUUUCCUUGAUGAACACUUGAUGUAGAAGGGUCCAGAUCACCGUAGGUAUUGUCACCUUGUGUAGGCUAUUCUGGGUCGUAUAAGAAGGCAAGUUGAUGAGCAAGCAAUGGGGAGCAGGCCAGUGAGCAGCACUCCUUCAUGACCUCUGCUUCAGCUCUUGUGUCCAGGUUCCUGCUUCUGAGUUCCUGCCUUGACUUUCCUCAGUAGUGCACUGUGAUGUAUAAGUAUAAGCCAAAUAACCUCUGCUUUCCUCAGCUGCUUUUCGGCAUGGUGUUGACCAUAUCAUCAAAAAGCAAACGAAUGCGUCCCCCAAGCUUGAAAAUCCUGUAACUUCUGUCACUCUCCUUCAACUGAGGUGACAGAAGAGUCUUUGGAACUAAUAUUUCAUAUCUUCCCUAUGGCCUACCCAGAUCAACCAACUAGUUCAUGAAGUUCAAUGUUUAUUUCCUUCCUUAAAUCCACUUCAGUUUCUAUCCAGGGAUUUCCAGUACCAGAACUGUCCCUCUAGAUCUUUUCUGCCAUCCCACCUCCAUCUCUACCCUCCCCUUGGAUGCUUGUUACAUCUCUCUAGUGGAAGUCCACAAAUCAACUUCUCCUAGCAACAAACUCACUGAAUACAUUGCUGUACCCAGGAUCACAGCCACAUAUGAAGAGUAUGUGAAGGUCCAUCACUUCCCCUUGGAAACUGUCACAAGGCUCUGCCAUGAGAUGUGUUCAGCUUGCUGAGUUCUUUCUACUCAAGAUCAGUUGCCUCUGCAACAUACUGUCUAGUUUUGCCUAAACCAAAGAAGAUGUAGCAUUCCAAGUCAAAAUUACAAUUUGUCCUUGAGAUAUGCUACUGAUAGUUUUAAAUGAAAAAUUAUUUUAAUAUUCUUUCAUUUUCUGACUUGAAGAACUGUACUUCUUAUAGAACAUGAUUUUUGUGUAUGUAGUAUUUUAAUAUUUAUACAGUUCUACUUAUAAUUAUCAUUUUCUAUUACUGAAAUAUAUUCUCACACACUGAGAAUUUUAUUCAUGC
rnacentral:lncRNA from 1 species